rnacentral:rRNA from 1 species
AUUGAACGCUGGCGGCAGGCCUAACACAUGCCAGUCGAGCGGAUGAAGGGAGCUUGCUCCUGGAUUCAGCGGCGGACGGGUGAGUAAUGCCUAGGAAUCUGCCUGGUAGUGGGGGAUAACGUCCGGAAACGGGCGCUAAUACCGCAUACGUCCUGAGGGAGAAAGUGGGGGAUCUUCGGACCUCACGCUAUCAGAUGAGCCUAGGUCGGAUUAGCUAGUUGGUGGGGUAAAGGCCUACCAAGGCGACGAUCCGUAACUGGUCUGAGAGGAUGAUCAGUCACACUGGAACUGAGACACGGUCCAGACUCCUACGGGAGGCAGCAGUGGGGAAUAUUGGACGAUGGGCGAAAGCCUGAUCCAGCCAUGCCGCGUGUGUGAAGAAGGUCUUCGGAUUGUAAAGCACUUUAAGUUGGGAGGAAGGGCAGUAAGUUAAUACCUUGCUGUUUUGACGUUACCAACAGAAUAAGCACCGGCUAACUUCGUG